ACGGUUUUAGUGCCCCAAUUGCAGUUUUAAUGGGGAUAGGCAUGUGGAAUUUGCCACCAUCUCCGAGAUGGCUACUUUUUAGAGCAGUUCAAGGUAAAGGGCCGAUGGAGGAGUAUAAAGAGUUGGCUGUCAAUGCACUUCGGAAACUAAGGGGCCGUCCAGCCGGAGAUGACAUUUCUCAGGGGCAAAUAGACGAUACUCUGGUCACGCUGAAGGCUGCCUACAAUGAAGAAUCUGAG
rnacentral:misc_RNA from 1 species